rnacentral:rRNA from 1 species
UACGUAGGGUGCAAGCGUUGUCCGGAAUUAUUGGGCGUAAAGAGCUCGUAGGCGGCUUGUCGCGUCGGCUGUGAAACCCUGGGGCUCAACCCCGGGCCUGCAGCCGAUACGGGCAGACUAGAGUACGGCAGGGGAGACUGGAAUUCCUGGUGUAGCGGUGAAAUGCGCAGAUAUCAGGAGGAACACCGGUGGCGAAGGCGGGUCCCUGGGCCGAAACUGACGCUGAGGAGCGAAAGCGUGGGGAGCAAACAGG